ACGAUGGCAGAAGGGCACUACCGGAGCCUCAGAUUGUGGGGGCAGGAUUAACUAAGCUAAGAAAUAAGUUUAAAGGUAGACGCCAAGAACGUUCCACCGCAGCACCCGAUGGCCUGGCGAGCUGGAAUCGUCUGAAAAAGCCUAACCAGGAAAUUAAUCAGACGAAUAGGGCAAAAAAAAAAAAAAAAAACAACGACAUAUCGUAGUGCGGAAGAAGCUUCUAGGGCAGUAACCGAGGCUGUUCGAAGACUAAAAUGGACACAGGUAACCGUGGAACGCCUGAUGGUAUUUCCUGGGAACUCAACAUGUACAGUGUAUGUUACUUCUGAGCUGUCAGACUCUCAUCACG